rnacentral:rRNA from 1 species
GACGAACGCUGGCGGCGUGCUUAACACAUGCAAGUCGAACGGAAAGGCCCUGCUUUUGUGGGGUGCUCGAGUGGCGAACGGGUGAGUAACACGUGAGUAACCUGCCCUUGACUUUGGGAUAACUUCAGGAAACUGGGGCUAAUACCGGAUAGGAGCUCCUGCUGCAUGGUGGGGGUUGGAAAGUUUCGGCGGUUGGGGAUGGACUCGCGGCUUAUCAGCUUGUUGGUGGGGUAGUGGCUUACCAAGGCUUUGACGGGUAGCCGGCCUGAGAGGGUGACCGGCCACAUUGGGACUGAGAUACGGCCCAGACUCCUACGGGAGGCAGCAGUGGGGAAUAUUGCACAAUGGGCGGAAGCCUGAUGCAGCAACGCCGCGUGCGGGAUGACGGCCUUCGGGUUGUAAACCGCUUUCGCCUGUGACGAAGCGUGAGUGACGGUAAUGGGUAAAGAAGCACCGGCUAACUACGUGCCAGCAGCCGCGGUAAUACGUAGGGUGCGAGCGUUGUCCGGAUUUAUUGGGCGUAAAGGGCUCGUAGGUGGUUGAUCGCGUCGGAAGUGUAAUCUUGGGGCUUAACCCUGAGCGUGCUUUCGAUACGGGUUGACUUGAGGAAGGUAGGGGAGAAUGGAAUUCCUGGUGGAGCGGUGGAAUGCGCAGAUAUCAGGAGGAACACCAGUGGCGAAGGCGGUUCUCUGGGCCUUUCCUGACGCUGAGGAGCGAAAGCGUGGGGAGCGAACAGGCUUAGAUACCCUGGUAGUCCACGCUGUAAACGGUGGGUACUAGGUGUGGGGUCCAUUCCACGGGUUCCGUGCCGUAGCUAACGCUUUAAGUACCCCGCCUGGGGAGUACGGCCGCAAGGCUAAAACUCAAAGGAAUUGACGGGGCCCCGCACAAGCGGCGGAGCAUGCGGAUUAAUUCGAUGCAACGCGUAGAACCUUACCUGGGUUUGACAUGGAUCGGGAGUGCUCAGAGAUGGGUGUGCCUCUUUUGGGGUCGGUUCACAGGUGGUGCAUGGCUGUCGUCAGCUCGUGUCGUGAGAUGUUGGGUUAAGUCCCGCAACGAGCGCAACCCUUGUUCACUGUUGCCAGCACGUUAUGGUGGGGACUCAGUGGAGACCGCCGGGGUCAACUCGGAGGAAGGUGGGGAUGACGUCAAGUCAUCAUGCCCCUUAUGUCCAGGGCUUCACGCAUGCUACAAUGGCUGGUACAGAGAGUGGCGAGCCUGUGAGGGUGAGCGAAUCUCGGAAAGCCGGUCUCAGUUCGGAUUGGGGUCUGCAACUCGACCUCAUGAAGUCGGAGUCGCUAGUAAUCGCAGAUCAGCAACGCUGCGGUGAAUACGUUCCCGGGGCUUGUACACACCGCCCGUCAAGUCAUGAAAGCUGGUAACACCCGAAGCCGGAAGCCUAACCGUUGUGGGGGAGCCGUCGAAG